rnacentral:rRNA from 1 species
GAUCCUGGCUCAGGAUGAACGCUAGCUAUAGGCUUAACACAUGCAAGUCGAGGGGCAGCAUGGUCUUAGCUUGCUAAGGCCGAUGGCGACCGGCGCACGGGUGAGUAACGCGUAUCCAACCUGCCUUACGCUCUUGGACAGCCUUCUGAAAGGGAGAUUAAUACAAGAUGUUAUCAUGAGUAAGCAUUUUCGCAUGAUUAAAGGUUUACCGGUGUAAGAUGGGGAUGCGUUCCA